GAUGAACGCUGGCGGCGUGCUUAACACAUGCAAGUCGAACGAAGCACUUGGAUCUCUUCGGAGUGAUGAGUGACUGAGUGGCGGACGGGUGAGUAACGCGUGGGUAACCUGCCUCGUACAGGGGGACAACAGUUGGAAACGACUGCUAAUACCGCAUAAGAGCACAGUAUCGCAUGAUAUAGUGUGGAAAGCUGAGGCGGUACGAGAUGGACCCGCGUUGGAUUAGCUAGUUGGUGGGGUAACGGCCUACCAAGGCGACGAUCCAUAGCCGACCUGAGAGGGUGACCGGCCACAUUGGGACUGAGACACGGCCCAAACUCCUACGGGAGGCAGCAGUGGGGAAUAUUGCACAAUGGGCGAAAGCCUGAUGCAGCGACGCCGCGUGAGCGAUGAAGUAUUUCGGUAUGUAAAGCUCUAUCAGCAGGGAAGAAAAUGACGGUACCUGACUAAGAAGCUCCGGCUAAAUACGUGCCAGCAGCCGCCGUAAAAC
rnacentral:rRNA from 1 species